AAGCACUUUAAUCGAUUUCUUCGGAUUGAAAUUUUAGUGACUGAGUGGCGGACGGGUGAGUAACGCGUGGGUAACCUGCCUCACACAGGGGGAUAACAGUUGGAAACGGCUGCUAAUACCGCAUAAGCGCACAGUACCGCAUGGUACGGUGUGAAAAACUCCGGUGGUAUGGGAUGGACCCGCGUCUGAUUAGCCAGUUGGCGGGGUAACGGCCCACCAAAGCGACGAUCAGUAGCCGACCUGAGAGGGUGACCGGCCACAUUGGGACUGAGACACGGCCCAAACUCC
rnacentral:rRNA from 1 species